rnacentral:misc_RNA from 1 species
GAUGAAGAACGUAGCGAAAUGCGAUAAGUAAUGUGAAUUGCGGAAUUCAGUGAAUCAUCGAAUCUUUGAACGCACAUUGCGCCCCCUGGUAUUCCGGGGGGCAUGCCUGUUCGAGCGUCAUUUCACCACUCAAGCCUCGCUUGGUAUUGGGCAUCGCGGUCCGCCGCGCGCCUCAAAUCGACCGGCUGGGUCUUCUGUCCCCUAAGCGUUGUGGAAACUAUUCGCUAAAGGGUGUUCGGGAGGCUACGCCGUAAAACAACCCCAUUUCUAAGGUUGACCUCGGAUCAGGUAGGGAUACCCGCUGAACUUAAGCAUAUCAAUAAGCGGAGGA